rnacentral:misc_RNA from 1 species
CAACACACAAAUUCCUGGAGGUUGUCACCUCGCUUUUCUCUCCGUCUCUCUCCGCCUGUCACCCGCACGUCGCACCCAUUCUUAUGUUUGCUCAUUUUCCUCGUCUUUUAGGUUUUCAUUUUUGAGUCUUACGAAAGAAGUCGUCGUCCUCGUCUUCUCUCGGCGUGUGCGUGGGUGUCUCUGCUCUCCUGUCCUUUCCCCACUUUCCAUCCACAUCACACGCAUACACGCACACUCCUCCGUCUCACCUCUCUCUCUCUCCACGCACAACCCCUCCCUCCCUCCUUCCUUCUCUACCCGAAGAGUCGACAGACACACACACACACACACACACACACUACAGUCACGCGCACACACCGCACUUUCAAGCGCGUCGGAGAGGGUUGCGUUGCACAUACAUUCACGUGAGCGCACACUCCUCGCCCCCAGCACAUAAACACACACACACGCACACAGUAAAAGCAACGGGACGCGAUACCAUCACCACGGAGGCACACGUGUGCAGCUGAGUUAUUCCCCCUUUCUCCUGUCUCUCUCUGUCUCAUCUUUCGUUGUUUCUGGGGUGCUCUUUCUUUCCGUUUGGUGUCUCCGACUUCCACCCCCCACAUACACACGCGCCCUUAUCCGCCCCACCUCACCCCCUCCUCCGCUCGCUCGCUCCGUGUGUGUGUGUGUGUGUGUUUAUUUGCCUGUCUAUCUGGUGCUUGCGCGCCUUUUCCUCUCUGAGUAAGGAGGAGUCUGCGCGCAGAGCGAAGCGUGGGCAGCGUGUGCGCCGUCCCGCGCCAUCUCCCCCCUCCCGUGAAGGCUAGGGGACGCGCGCUUUUUUUCUUCGCUUUCGUCCGUGCCGUUUGUGUUGCGUGAGCGGACCGGGGACGUUCACCCUCUCUCCCCUCCUCCCCCUCCCCUUCCCCCGGUCUCCGUCUCUCUCCCUCUCCCUUCUCUCCCCACUCCGACGCAGAGGCUUGUCAGCCUGAAAACUGUGCGAGUGGCGGCGUGACGGCGUCUCUUCUCUGUACGUUUUUCCCUUUUGUUUGCUCGUCGUUUUAUAGUUAGACUGCACGCCCCCUCCUCUCCUCUGUUUCUGUAUUUUGUUUCUCCUCGAGAGCUCUUUCUCGCGCACACGCACGUCGUAGGGAGGGGAUACCAGCGCCGCAUCCGGCUACGCGCGCGCGCACACACACACAAAGACGCACACGCACACAUAUACAUACACACACACACACACGCACACAAACGCAUCGCUUGGUCACGCUGCAUCCUCCUUCCCCCCUUACUUCUACCGUCCCCUCGGCACUCAAGAGGCGUAAGAGAGCAGGGGUAUGUGACUGUCGCCACCCGUUUCGCCAUCCGUCUCUCUCAGUGUAUUCGUAGAACGUUCUCCCUCCUCCUCUUCUUCCCUCGCCGCCCGCCCCCUAUUUUCCCUUCCUCCGCCCACAUCGACGUUUUGUGAUUCGGGUUUCGUGCUUUUCCCUCUUGUUUCCAUUCUUCGUCUACGUGCAGUGUGCGCCUGCGGGCUUCUCUCUCUCUGCCCCCCUCCCUUCCCCUACGAGUCCCCCUCCCUAGUGCUUCUACUUUUCUCCUUCGUGCGGCGUUGCUACUGGUGCUGCUGUCGUAGUGGUGUGUGGAUGUGCUUAGAUACAAGACUGUUCCACGGCGUGCUCUCUUCUCCAUUUUCUCUCUCUUCGUGCUUGUGUGUGUGUGUGUGGGCGUGUGCCUCGACUCCCCCAUCCCCAUCCCCCACCCCCACCAUCACAACUCGCACUCGGUUUCGUUUACAGCGUUGUGCUGCCCUUUUCGACAGGCACACCGGGACAUACGCCACGCACACGCUCGUAGCACAAUAACAGGCCUGCCCUCCCUCCCUCUCUCCCUCCCUCGUGGCUUUGUGCUUCUCGUCGACCCUUUUCUUUUUUACUUCAGUGUACACAUCGAGGCCCUCUCCCUCCCACCCACCUCCUUCCGUUGUUUACGUACACACUGACUCUGUCGCUCACUUCCACCUCCCUCUCUCCCUCCCUCCCUCACGCACACGCGCGAGACGAGUGUACACGCUGCGGGUCUCGCGUCCCUUUCCUUCUCUGUUUGAUUUUGUACCUCUUCUGCGUUGUGUGUCCCUCUCCUCUCCCCGCUAGUAGCACAUGGACAGACGCACACCAUAAAUACCAUACACAUCAUACCCGUGCAUCCACUCGAAGAGUUUGUACGUGCUUCAAGUCCGUGCCGUCUCCGUGCCCUGUUGUGUUUCUUUCUCCUCUCUUGCUUAGACGCACGCACACACACACACACACAGACACAGACACACACAACUCUCUCUUCCCAUCAAGCACGCGCACACACGCGCACCGGCAUAUUCGUCUGCGUGUGUGCCCUCUUCCUCUCCCCCAUUUCUCCUUCUCUGCGUGUGUGUGCUUGUGCGCUCCAGUCGCGCUGUCCGUGCUACCCUCCCUGCGCGCGCUAUUUUGUAUUUUUACCUUUCUCCCCCCUCCCCAAAAACACACAUAUAUAUAUACACCACACACACACAGCCUGCCCCCCCCCCCCCCCCCCCCCACACACACACACACACAUACACGUAUACACACGCGUACACGCACAGGCUUUUAGUUUGAGUGCUUCCCUUCUGUUCGCUUUUCUUUACUCUCUUUUGUUGCUCUGCGUGCCCCCGCCCCCGCCCCGACAGGCGAAGAGAGCACACACGUGUGCACGCGUCGGUGUUGUGCCACUGUGCUUGUGCCCGUCUUUCUGUGUUCUGGAAGUGCACACGCACCAGUGCAUCCGACCCGCUCAGACCCCCUCCCCCAUUCACCGAACACGCCGCGACCUUCCCUACCUCCAUCACCAGAGCCGCUGCUGCAGUGAGCGCUGCCCACAUUCAAUGUACAGCAAGGCAGAGGAUUCAUCGCACGACACUCCGUGCAGCGGCGCGGCUGAGACGGCCACGACAACGAAGCGCCUGCCGUCUUUUGUGGUGACUUCCAGCAAUGACGCAACCUUCACAAAGCCCACCACGCCUGCCAAGACGGGCUCCUCCAUUACUCUCAACCCGGACGCGCAGGAGUUCCGCGUUACCCCUGCCUUUGCCGGCACACUCUUUUCCAUGCCAUCCGCAGCCGCACCGGCACCGCCGCAGCAGCGGUGGUUCCAGCCGGCAAUGGAUUUCUCGACUCGCCCAACGGCUGGCAACAACGGCACCUCGCAGAGCAGCAGCUCGCCUCCCCCUGCUUCCCCCUCUGCCUCCGCUGCGAGCGAUGCGAUGGAUAACCGGCAGCUGGUGGAGCUGACGGAGGCCUACAUGCACCAACUCUACGACCGAAAGUGUGAUGACGAGAAGCUUCACAUGGUCUCUGUCUUCCACUUGCACCCGCGCACCACCGACAAGCAGCUGAGUCGCAUCUUCUUCCCCACCGGGGCCUCCGCGGCCGAGGUUCUGGAGCCGCGCAUGAUGCCGGAGCCACUCGCCAAGGCGUUUCUCGCGGUGCGUCAGCGCGCUGGCGUCGUCUUCUUCACUCGUAAGGACUUCGCCAUGGUUGGCGUGGAGAAGGUGCACGACUUUGUGCCCCAUGGCCAGCACCAGCCGCUCGUGGUCCGUUACUGCGGCCCCGAUCACGAGGCGACGCCGCUGUCCGGCUCUCCACUGCCCCCACGCUCUCAGAGCAGCGAGCCGCUUCGAGGCGGCGCGCUGUCCUCUGCAAAGGCAACCAGUCCAAGGCCCAGUGGCCGCCCAACACCGCCACAGUCGCGCCACAGGGAUGCAUCCGACCCGAGCGACGUCUUCCCUGCGAGCGUCGUGGCGGUGCCUCCCCUCUCCGGCGGGCUCGAGUCCAUCGCGUCCGCCGGCACCACGACGCCGGCGCUGGACGCCGGCGCCAACUCCACCGCCACCUACGACUCCAUCGACCACCACUUUUUGCAGAAGUACGCAGGUGAGCAAGUGUACCUUGUCGGGGUGCACAAUCUCGCCUACGGCACCACCCCCAAGUCGCUCUUCAAGAUGUUCUACCCGAUGGGGGCCCUGAACUCGGAGCUGCUGCCGCGACCCGUCUCGGUGGACGGUAAACUGCGCUGCAGCGGCGUCGCCGUCUUCGGUUCCAAAGGGAUGGCGAUGGAGGCGGCAGAAAAGAUGAACGAUUUCGUGCCGCACGGGCAGCGGCGGCCCAUCGUGGCCCGCUUCCUUAAGCGCACGACGAGUCCCGCCUUCGCCAGCUCUGCCGCGCCCGGCAAUGGCAGCAGCAUCACAGGCAGCGCCUACACCGCAACGGCGGCGACGGCGUCCACGCCUCGCGGGUCGAUAUCGUCUCCCAGCCCCGCUUCCGGCAUCUCUUCCGCGGCCGCCCUGCUCGAGUCCGUUGAGAAGCAGCUGCGGUCCAAGUCUCUGAAUGACAGCCAGCUUGCGGCGGAUAUGGCGGCGCUCGUCUUGUGUGCGGAGAGCGGCGAGGCAGAAGCGAGGAAGCUGGCGGCGGUUCUGCGGGACGUGCUGCUCUCCAUGAGAGACCACUCUACCAUCCUCGCGAGUCCGCUCUCUGGUGCCCUCCGCACGCUGCACAGCACGUUAGGCAUUCGCGUGCGCACCGCCCCGGCAACGCCGGCAGACGCCUCGCUGAGCGUCCGCAAGGGCGUUCUUUUUCUCCAGCAGAUUGGCCGUACACUGAUGAUGCUCGUGGCCGACACCGAGGCGGCCCGCCAGACCCGCAUCGUCGCCGCGGUGCAGUGCGCCUACCUCUACCAGUACACGUACCUGCCCAAGACGCCGCUGUGCUUUGCCGCGACGCUCUUCCGAAACUGCGAGAGGGAGCUGCGGGAGGCGAGAGAGUUUCUGUGCCGCGAGCCGAACGUGCCGUCGAGCCUCGCUGAGGAACAGCAGCACCGCCCCUGGAUCACGCUGAUGGAUGCGCUGCAUGAGAUGGUGAGCGUCUGGCGCUCUCUCGACCCCCGAACCUACGCUCAGGACGCGGUGCGCGAGGAGUACGAGCGCUUCGUGUGCGAGUUCCGCGGCAUGGACAUGAAGCGCAGCAGCCCGGUGACUAGCACUCUCAGCGCCGCUGCCGUAGCCGCUGCUGGAGGAGGAGAGCACCACAGCGGUGCCUGCACGCCGCGCAACGACGCGCUGGAGGUGCCUGCCGAGGCGGCCAACCACACGCACUCGGCAAAGGGCUACGGCGGCAGCAGCGUCAACGCAAGUGCGAAGAAGUCGCAGUUCGUGACCCCGAGUGCGCGACCGACGCCGCGCCGCGUCGUCUCGAAGUCGUACAGCACCACCAGCGACUGGAAGGUGAAGCAGAGCACGCCGCUUGCGGGGCCGAACUGCGCCGUGCCACCGCAGGUGAUGCUGACCAGCCCGGCCAGCGACUACACCCAGGGCGCCUCCGAGUUCUCGGCGGACAGCAACUCCGCCGGCACGGCGAUCAGCAGCGCGCUGCGCUCGCUGGGCCUCACGCCGCAGCACCCGAGCAUGCGCUUCAACUGGGGAUCGCGGCUGCUGUCGGCGGCGCCGCAGCCCGGCAUGCCUCCCAAUCCAACUGUGUCUGCUGCUGCCAUGCUGCCUGCAACACCGACGUUCUCUGCGCCUGCUUCCACGUCUGCCACGGCUAGUGCUGCUUCCGGCGCCCCCACCGCUGCCGCCACUUCCGCUGAGCGGUCGGACGCCACGAUGACGGAGCGGACGGUGUACAUCACGAAACUGCCCUCCUGCCUCAGCGCCGGCCAGGUCCGGCGUCUGCUGCUGCAUUUUGGCGACUUCCGCAAAGUCCGGCUGUGCCACGAUGACAAGGAGACGACGCGCAUCGGCUCAGCGGAGGCGCUGGCGGCGCACAACCUCAAGUUCGACCAGCUAUGCUUUGGUUUCGUGGAGUUCGUGGAGAGCGGCAGCGCCAAGGCGAUGGUGGAGUUCUUCCGCAACGAGGUGCACAUGCCGAGCGCGUUCGACUUCUUACGCUCCAAGGACGUGCACGGCUUCGACGACACUGAACUCAAUCAGCUUCGCAACACACGCACCAGUCAGGCUCGCAAUCCCAUUCACGAUCAGCAGUCCCUCGACGCCACCCGCACGCAGCCGUGCCUCUUUGGCAUCAUUCAACCACACCACACCGUUGAUACAUACAGUGAUGCGAUCACGGCGGAAGAGGUGGCCGAGGCGGUGCGACAGCUGCACCGAGGAGAGGAAGAGGGAGCUCAGCAGCAGCCACUGCCGAUGUGUGCGUCCCCCUUCAUCCACCCGACCGUCUUCACCUCCACACCCUACUCGAUGGCCGUGUCGAAGGGCGUAUCGUUCGAAAGUCCGGUAGCAGCCACCGCCUCGGCGACAGGCGACAACAGCUAUGACGAGAACGACGGUGGCGGCUCCGUCGUUGCCGCCCUGCAGCCGAUGGACGCCGUACACUUUCCUCGUGGCUUUCCAUACCACGAGGUGUUCGCUGCCGCCGCCUCGCAGACGGGCGACGGCGACGGCGCUGGCCACCACGACAACGGUGCCGGCAGUAGUGGCUACUUGCCCUCAGACGACAUGGACCUCUACGGCAGCUGCGCCCCGGUCAUUGUGGAGGAGGAAGAGGACGAAGUCGAAGGGCUGCAGGAGUACCAAGUGCAGCAGAUCCUGCAGCUGCUGAGCUGACGGAAGUGAUGACAAGCGGGGGAUGCGGCUGUGACCGCAUCUGCGGUGUUUGGGCUUUGCAUGUAUUUCUUGUGCGCGCGUGCGUCGCUGCAUCGAUGCUUCCGUUCGACCUUUCUUCGCUGGGGACUCCCUUCCUCCUCUCUCUGUGUGUAUGUGUAUUAUGUGUAUGUGUGCGUGUGUGUGUACCGUUGUCUGCAUCGUUACUGCGCUGGUGCACCGGGCUGGGCUCCUUCCCUCCCUCCCUCCUUUUCCAUUUUCCGCUCCACACAACCGCUCCACGCCCCUCCUUCCCCCUUCUCUGUAUCUCGCGCGCGCGCGUGCGUCCGUGCAGGGGGAGGGGCAGUGUAUGUCUCUCAUUCAUGUGCUUCUGUGUGCGUGGGCGUUUGUGUGUUUUCCGUCUUCUGUUUUUGUGUUUCUUGACUCUCUUGUACCGUCUCUCUGCCUCUGCCCCUCUGCUCACCCGCCACGGUGGAGGGCAGGAUGCGGACAUGCGUGCUCAUGUCUAUCUAUAUGCAUAUGUGUAUAUAUGUGUAUGCGUGUGGGUGUGGUGGGUGGAGGGAUGCACCGCCAGCUCCCAUUUUUUUUUUGUUUGACUCCCUGACUGAUGUGCUGGCAUGCCUGUGGUGCAUUGGCGAACAACACACACACACAUACACAUAUAUACAUAUAUAUCUGCAUGUGUGCGUGCCCCCUCUAACUUAAUGUACGUUGAUGGCGGUGAUGAC